AGUGAACGCUGGCGGUAGGCCUAACACAUGCAAGUCGAACGGCAGCACAGUAAGAGCUUGCUCUUACGGGUGGCGAGUGGCGGACGGGUGAGGAAUACAUCGGAAUCUACUUUUUCGUGGGGGAUAACGUAGGGAAACUUACGCUAAUACCGCAUACGACCUACGGGUGAAAGCAGGGGAUCUUCGGACCUUGCGCGAUUGAAUGAGCCGAUGUCGGAUUAGCUAGUUGGCGGGGUAAAGGCCCACCAAGGCGACGAUCCGUAGCUGGUCUGAGAGGAUGAUAGGCCACACUGGAGCUGAGACACGGUCCAGACUCCUACGGGAGGCAGCAGUGGGGAAUAUUGGACAAUGGGCGCAAGCCUGAUCCAGCCAUACCGCGUGGGUGAAGAAGGCCUUCGGGUUGUAAAGCCCUUUUGUUGGGAAAGAAAAGCAGCAGGUUAAUACGCCGCUGUUCUGACGGUAACAAAAGAAUAAGCACCGGCUAACUUCGUG
rnacentral:rRNA from 1 species